rnacentral:rRNA from 1 species
UACGUAUGUCCCGAGCGUUAUCCGGAUUUAUUGGGCGUAAAGCGAGCGCAGACGGUUGGUUAAGUCUGAUGUGAAAGCCCGGAGCUCAACUCCGGAAAGGCAUUGGAAACUGGUUAACUUGAGUGCAGUAGAGGUAAGUGGAACUCCAUGUGUAGCGGUGGAAUGCGUAGAUAUAUGGAAGAACACCAGCGGCGAAGGCGGCUUACUGGACUGUAACUGACGUUGAGGCUCGAAAGUGUGGGUAGCAAACAGG